rnacentral:rRNA from 1 species
GAUGAACGCUAGCUACAGGCUUAACACAUGCAAGUCGAGGGGCAGCAUAAAUCUAGCAAUAGAUUUGAUGGCGACCGGCGCACGGGUGAGUAACACGUAUCCAACCUACCUAUUACUCGGGUAUAGCCUUUCGAAAGAAAGAUUAAUCCCCGAUACGAUAUUGAGUUCGCAUGAAUUUGAUAUGAAAGAUCUAUUGGUAUUAGAUGGGGAUGCGUUGCAUUAGAUUGUUGGUGGGGUAACGGCCCACCAAGUCUUCGAUGGAUAGGGGUUCUGAGAGGAAGGUCCCCCACUCUGGAACUGAGACACGGUCCAGACUCCUACGGGAGGCAGCAGUGAGGAAUAUUGGUCAAUGGGCGAGAGCCUGAACCAGCCAAGUAGCGUGAGGGAUGACUGCCCUAUGGGUUGUAAACCUCUUUUAUAAGGGAAUAAAACGCUCCACGUGUGGAGCUUUGCAUGUACCUUUUGAAUAAGGAUCGGCUAACUCCGUGCCAGCAGCCGCAGUAACAC